AGCGAACGCUGGCGGCAGGCCUAACACAUGCAAGUCGAACGGACCCUUCGGGGUUAGUGGCGGACGGGUGAGUAACACGUGGGAACGUGCCCUUUGGUUCGGAAUAGCUCCUGGAAACGGGUGGUAAUGCCGAAUGUGCCCUUCGGGGGAAAGAUUUAUCGCCAUUGGAGCGGCCCGCGUCUGAUUAGCUAGUUGGUAGUGUAACGGACUACCAAGGCGACGAUCAGUAGCUGGUCUGAGAGGAUGAUCAGCCACAUUGGGACUGAGACACGGCCCAAACUCCUACGGGAGGCAGCAGUGGGGAAUCUUGCGCAAUGGGCGAAAGCCUGACGCAGCCAUGCCGCGUGAAUGAUGAAGGUCUUAGGAUUGUAAAAUUCUUUCACCGGGGACGAUAAUGACGGUACCCGGAGAAGAAGCCCCGGCUAACUUCGUGCCAGCCGCCGCGGUAAGAC
rnacentral:rRNA from 1 species